rnacentral:lncRNA from 1 species
AGUUAGGACCAUGUAUAUAUGUAUAGUCCGGCUAGGAUACUAUCGAUAGCACGGAGCAUUUGGUGCUAUCAAGUUUUCUGCCGUUAGAUUUACAUCUUUUAUCAUUUUCAUCCGUUCGAUUAUACUAUUUAACUAACCACCCACUCAACCCUAGAGGACUCAUAUCAUCCUAACUACACAUUUUUUAAUUCAAGGACAGAAAAUUUAAUACCAUCAAGUCAUUGGUGCUAUUAAUAGUAUUCCACUCUAGUUCUCUCUCUCUAUAUAUAUACACACACUCUCAACCUAGGUUUUUUUUUUUAAUUAAAAUUUUACCAA